AUGCACGGGCAGGCGAAGAGCACUCACCCCUCCUCGUCCUCGUCGUCGUCGAUGUCGUCCCCGCGCCGGUCGCGCAGCUUCCAGUAUAUGUACACCACGAUGACUCUGAUGAGGGCGACGCCGGCCGCGUCGGCGACCGAGAUGAGCACGAUGAGGCUGGUCUUCAUCGGUUGGCUAGUGCCGCCGGCGCUGCCGCCGGAGCCAGUGGUGGUCGGAGGCGGCAUGGAGGAGGAUGCCGACGGCGGGGCCGCGCGGCAGGGGACCUGGAGCGGGAAACCGUAGAGCCCGGGGUUGUUGAGGAAGGCCGUGGGGCCCUGGCUGGCAAGGGACCCGGACUGCAGAAUCUCGCCGGAGAGGUUGUUGAAGCAGAGGUCGAGGGUGACGGUCGCCGGGAGACGUCCCAGCUUUGGUGGCACCGUGUCAGAGAGGCGGUUGCGGGAGAUGUUCAGCGUACCGGCCAGCGCCUGGAGCUUGCCGAGCUCAGGUGGGAUGGCGUCCGUGAGGGAGUUGGACGACAGGUCGAGCAGCUACAGGCUCUCCAUCUGUGGCAAUGCGACGGCCGGUAUGUGACCGGAGAACCCAUUGUUUGCAAGGAGCAGCCGCUGCAGCUGCCUGCAGCGCCCGAGCGCCGGUGGGAAGGCGCCGGUGAGGUUGUUGUCGUAGAGGAAGACGGAGUGCAGGGACGUGCGUUGGACAUGUCCCUGGAGGCGCGGGAGUUUAAGCAGGUGGUGGACGAGAUCAUCCCGCUCAUCGGCGCGGCCAAUGUGUGGGACUACCUGCCGGUGA
rnacentral:rRNA from 1 species